rnacentral:misc_RNA from 1 species
GAUGAAGAACGCAGCAAAAUGCGAUACUUGGUGUGAAUUGCAGAAUCCCGUGAACCAUCGAGUUUUUGAACGCAAGUUGCGCCCGAAGCCUUUUGGCCGAGGGCACGUCUGCCUGGGCGUCACGCAUCGCGUCGCCCCCCACAAUUCUCCGUAAAGGGAACAUGUGUUUUGGGGGCGGAUAUUGGUCUCCCGUGCUCAUGGCGUGGUUGGCCGAAAUAGGAGUCCUUUCGAUGGACGCACGAACUAGUGGUGGUCGUAAAAACCCUCGUCUUUUGUUUCGUGCUGUUGCUCGCAAGGUAAACUCUUUAAAGACCCCAAUGUGUCGUCUCUUGACGACGCUUCGACCGCGACCCCAGGUCAGGCGGGACUACCCGCUGAGUUUAAGCAUAUCAAUAAGCGGAGGA